GUUUGACGUUAGCGACAGAAGAAAGCACCGGCUAACUCCGUGCCAGCAGCCGCGGUAAUACGGAGGGUGCGAGCGUUAAUCGGAAUUACUGGGCGUAAAGCGCAUGCAGGUGGUUUGUUAAGUCAGAUGUGAAAGACCCGGGGCGUCAACCUCGGAAUUGCAUUUGUAAACUAGGCAGACUAGAGUACUGUAGAGGGGGGUAGGAAUUUCAGGUGUAGCGGUGAAAUGCGUAGAGAUCUGAAGGAAUACCGGUGGCGAAGGCGGCCCCCUCGGACAGAUACUGACACUCAGAUGCGAAAGCGUGGGGAGCAAACAGGAUUAGAUACCCUGGUAG
rnacentral:rRNA from 1 species